AGUUUGGGCUGUCUCUGUGGCUGGUUCUGCGGCGUGCGGCCAGCCAUGGAGCGCUCUGGGCCCAGCGAAGUGACAGGCUCAGACGCAUCGGGACCGGACCCGCAGCUUGCGGUCACCAUGGGCUUCACGGGGUUCGGUAAAAAAGCUCGCACAUUUGACUUGGAAGCAAUGUUUGAACAAACUCGAAGAACAGCUGUGGAAAGAAGUUGCAAAACACUGGGCCACCAGGAACACACCUGUAGCCCAGCAAAGUUGAGGCCAUCAACUGGCUCAUCACAACAAGGAAGGCUGUGCACCACUGGGACCCAGCAGCAGCUCAGCAGCAGCAGUGAAAGGGCCUUGGGAAAGACUCGGAGGGUUUGGCUUAUACAAGGCCAGAUUACAGAGGGGUAUUGAUUUGCCUUGCCCCCGCCCCCACCAUCACAGUGUGUCCCUGUCCAGUGUUGGUGCUGUGUGGCAUUGGCUUGUGUCCAUAGGAGUCCAUCAAGGCAGAGCGGCAGAGUGGGAAGGCAGUUCAACCCAAUGGAAAUGGAUUGAAAGAGUGAAAGUCACUGGUCUCAAAGAAUCUACGGAAUUUAGCAUUUUGAAAAUCACAUAGCAAUUUUGGGUAGGUAUUCACCUGCACUAAAAAACCAGGCAAACAUCCGACUCCCAGGAUAAAGUGACUGAGAGCAGUAGAAGACUUGUUGAGCCUUAAGGAAUAAGAGGAAAAUUACGUUAUGAAGUGCAGGAACAGCACAGACCCAGACGAGGGGACGCAGCCCGGAGCCAGUAACCCGGCGCCACCUCCUCCCCAGGGCGCAGCGCUGGCUGAUCCCCAGAUACCGUGAUCACACGUCCCGGGUCCUGAGAGCGCCUCAUAGGUAGACAGUUCUUUGGGACUUCUGGGAUGCAGCACUUGAAGAGAGGUUUACCUAAACUUUCCUCCUGGGAGCCUGUGAUCAUUUGAAAGUAACAGAAGAAAGUUGUCAGGCUGAGGAAAGUUUCAACAGGCACUUGGUGAGAAUGGGAAGCAUCCAUUCAUUGUGAAAUCGCGGGGACAGAGGAGGAAUUCACGGGAUCAGAGCACUGAGAAACUCCAGAGGCUUCUGGUUCACCGCCCUGAUUCCACAGAUGUGGGUCAGAGGCAGAGAUGGAAGUUGGAAUGGACAAGCCUGCCCUCUCCUUGGCUCUCCAUGGCUCUGUCCUCAGGCUGUUUCUGCAAUUUGACAUGAGGCCUGGCCCCAGGGAAACCAGUGGGGCCUCAUCUCCUCCCUGUGCUGCUCUGAGGUGGAGCCUUCUCAGGGUCAGUCCAGCUCUGGAGCCCCUCUCCAGCUCGGUCACCAAAGCUGUCUGGUCCCAGGGCGGUGCUGAGUGACAGGCAUGCCAGCCAAUCCAAUCGGCAAUUUCAUAUCCAAUGCAUGUGACUGAUAAAGAGAUAACGCCCUGUCUCCAAGACACAGGCUUUACAUAAACAGCUUUAAUGACUUCUUCACUUAGAGACAAGACUCCUUAGUGGUGGAACCUCAGGCAUCCGUGCAGGACGUAAGAAAGCUGCCGUAUAUACAUGAACUGAGAAGUGUGUAGAAGAAUAAAUACUGUAAUAGGUAAUAAAAUGUAUGUAUUUU
ensembl:lncRNA GUSBP1 GUSB pseudogene 1